rnacentral:lncRNA from 1 species
ACGUGUGCCAACCUAACUCAGUGUUGAUGCCCUCUGUUAGAAAUACAAAUAACUGCAGCCUUCAGCGCCUUUGAAGGAGAUGGCCUUGCUGCUCUUCUAUUGCUCUUUUACGGACUGCCUUGACAGAUGAAAGUUAUCUCUACCAAUGAAACAAUCUUGGGGCGCAGUAUCCUUGUGCUGGGUGACCCCAUCAUUGAUGUUCCAGGUGCAAUGAAAACAGACUUUUGGGCACACUUCUUGUGGUUUUGGGCAUCUCUCUCCUCCAGCUUUCCCAAGGUGUGCAAGGUUUAAAGGUAAGGUGGU